rnacentral:rRNA from 1 species
CAAUAGCGUAUAUUAAAGUUGUUGCAGUUAAAAAGCUCGUAGUUGCAUUUCCGAGGCAAGGGAUUAGUCCGACCUUUGGUGGGUAUUUAAUCCUCUUGCCUCGUCCUUGAGUGGUGCUUCUUGGUAUUAAGUUAUCGAGGAGAUAGCCGCUCAUCGUUUACUGUGAGAAAAUUAGAGUGUUCAAAGCAGGCUUGCCGUUGAAUAUAUUAGCAUGGAAUAAUAAGAUAGGACCUCGGUACUAUUUUGUUGGUUUGAGAACCAAGGUAAUGAUGAAUAGGGACAGUUGGGGGUAUUCGUAUUCAGUUGUCAGAGGUGAAAUUCUUAGAUUUACGGAAGACGAACUACUGCGAAAGCAUUUACCAAGGAUGUUUNCAUUAA